rnacentral:rRNA from 1 species
GGCGGCAGGCCUAACACAUGCAAGUCGAGCGGAUGAAGAGAGCUUGCUCUCUGAUUCAGCGGCGGACGGGUGAGUAAUGCCUAGGAAUCUGCCUAUUAGUGGGGGACAACGUUUCGAAAGGAACGCUAAUACCGCAUACGUCCUACGGGAGAAAGCAGGGGACCUUCGGGCCUUGCGCUAAUAGGUGAGCCUAGGUCGGAUUAGCUAGUUGGUGAGGUAAUGGCUCACCAAGGCGACGAUCCGUAACUGGUCUGAGAGGAUGAUCAGUCACACUGGAACUGAGACACGGUCCAGACUCCUACGGGAGGCAGCAGUGGGGAAUAUUGGACAAUGGGCGAAAGCCUGAUCCAGCCAUGCCGCGUGUGUGAAGAAGGUCUUCGGAUUGUAAAGCACUUUAAGUUGGGAGGAAGGGCAUUAACCUAAUACGUUAGUGUUUUGACGUUACCGACAGAAUAAGCACCGGCUAACUCUGUGCCAGCAGCCGCGGUAAUACAGAGGGUGCAAGCGUUAAUCGGAAUUACUGGGCGUAAAGCGCGCGUA